AGAUUGAACGCUGGCGGCAGGCCUAACACAUGCAAGUCGAGCGGUAGAGAGGUGCUUGCAUCUCUUGAGAGCGGCGGACGGGUGAGUAAUGCCUAGGAAUCUGCCUAGUGGUGGGGGAUAACGUUCGGAAACGGACGCUAAUACCGCAUACGCCCUACGGGAGAAAGCGGGGACCUUCGGGCCUCGCGCCAUUAGAUGAGCCUAGGUCGGAUUAGCUAGUUGGUGAGGUAAUGGCUCACCAAGGCGACGAUCCGUAACUGGUCUGAGAGGAUGAUCAGUCACACUGGAACUGAGACACGGUCCAGACUCCGUACGGAGGCAGCAGUGGGAAUAUUGGACAAUGGGACGAAAGCCGUAGAUCCAGCCAUGCCGCGUGUGUGAAGAAGUUCUUGGAUUGUAAAGCAAUUUAAGGUAGGAGGUAAGGUU
rnacentral:rRNA from 1 species